rnacentral:misc_RNA from 1 species
UCAUUUCUAAAUUCCGUUCAAGGGGUGAAAGAUGCAAUGUCACCGCUUGAGCUUGGGAUUCGGAAAGCGGCUAAAGAUCUGGAGAGUUGCUGGGGAAUUUCUAAGAACGAUAAGGUUUAUCAUNNNNNNNNUGAAUUCCACUGAUAAUAGGAUUCAUAACAAUAAGGUUCAGAUCUGUGCUGUGAAAAAGAGGAGUACUAGUAAUAUCAAUGGCAAUAAUGGGAACUCUGUGUCUGGUG